UACAGAGGGUGCAAGCGUUGUUCGGAAUCAUUGGGCGUAAAGCGCACGUAGGCGGCUUCGCAAGUCAGGUGUGAAAGCCCAGGGCUCAACCCUGGAAGUGCACUUGAAACUGCGAGGCUUGAAUGUCGGAGAGGGCAGUGGAAUUCCGAGUGUAGAGGUGAAAUUCGUAGAUAUUCGGAGGAACACCAGUGGCGAAGGCGACUGCCUGGACGAACAUUGACGCUGAGGUGCGAAAGCGUGGGGAGCAAACAGGG
rnacentral:rRNA from 1 species